CCUACGGGGAGCAGCAGUGGGGGAUAUUGCACAAUGGGGGAAACCCUGAUGUAGCGACGCCGCGUGUGGGAAGACGGUCUUCUGGAUUGUAAACCACUGUCCCCAGGGACGAAAAUGACGGUACCUGGGGAGGAAGCUCCGGCUAACUACGUGCCAGCAGCCGCGGUAAUACGUAGGGAGCAAGCGUUGUCCGGAAUUACUGGGUGUAAAGGGAGCGUAGGCGGGGAUGCAAGUUGGGUGUCAAAACUACCGGCUCAACCGAUAGUCGCACUCAAAACUGCAGCUCUUGAGUGAAGUAGAGGCAGGCGGAAUUCCUAGUGUAGCGGUGAAAUGCGUAGAUAUUAGGAGGAACACCAGUGGCGAAGGCGGCCUGCUGGGCUUUUACUGACGCUGAGGCUCGAAAGUGUGGGGAGCAAACAGGAUUAGAUACCCUGGUAGUC
rnacentral:rRNA from 1 species